CAGUACAAAACCUUCCAAAUGGCGUCGGAUCACUUGUGGAGUUAGAAUACUUUAACUUAGCAUGUACACAAUUACGAAAUGUUCCAGAUUCAAUCUGCAGUCUUGUGAAAUUGAAAGAACUACAUUUGUCAGAGUCAAAAUUACAGUACCUUCCAAAUAAUUUUGGAUCACUUGUGGAAUUAAGAUAUCUUUACUUGGCAAGUACAGAAUUACAAUACCUUCCAGAUUCAAUCUGCAGUCUUGUGAAAUUGAAAGAACUACAUUUGUCAGAGUCAAAAUUACAGUACCUUCCAAAUAAUUUUGGAUCACUUGUGGAAUUAAGAUAUCUUUGCUUGACAAGUACAAAAUUACAAUACCUUCCAGAUUCAAUUGGUGGACUCGUGAAGUUAGAAUGUUUUGACUUAACUAGGACAAAAUUACAAAACCUUCCAGAUUCAAUUGGCAGCCUUGUGAAACUAAGAAAUUUAAUGAUAUCAGAAUCAAAACUACAAUGUCUUCCAGAUAGUAUCGGAUCACUUGUGGAGUUAGGAUAUUUUAACUUAACAAGGACAGAAUUACAAA
rnacentral:lncRNA from 1 species